rnacentral:sRNA from 1 species
ACACAGGAAAGGAGGUGGUCCGACAAAUUGCUAGCUGCGUGGACAUGUGAGGUGGCUGCGCGUUAAGCCGCGCGAAGCGAGGAUUCAGCAGCGCGCGCUGGCGAAUUCCCCGCAGUCACCCGGCCCCGAGCCUCCCGGUCCGUCCAACCUGGAACAUCGGCUCGGGGCUGUCCAUG